rnacentral:rRNA from 1 species
UGACGUUGAUAGGCCGGGUGUGUAAGCGCAGCGAUGCGUUGAGCUAACCGGUACUAAUGAACCGUGAGGCUUAAACUU